rnacentral:rRNA from 1 species
UACGUAGGGUGCGAGCGUUGUCCGGAAUUAUUGGGCGUAAAGGGCUCGUAGGCGGUUUGUCGCGUCGGGAGUGAAAACCUUGGGCUUAACUCAGGGCUUGCUUUCGAUACGGGCAGACUAGAGGUAUGCAGGGGAGAACGGAAUUCCUGGUGUAGCGGUGAAAUGCGCAGAUAUCAGGAGGAACACCAGUGGCGAAGGCGGUUGCCUGGAGCUUUGCUGACGCUGAUGCGCGAAAGCGUGGGGAGCGAUCAGG